rnacentral:rRNA from 1 species
GGCCUAACACAUGCAAGUCGAGCGCGAAAGCACUUCGGUGUGAGUAGAGCGGCGGACGGGUGAGUAACGCGUAGGAAUCUACCUGGUAGUGGGGGACAACUCGGGGAAACUCGAGCUAAUACCGCAUACGCCCUACGGGGGAAAGCGGGGGACCUUCGGGCCUCGCGCUAUCAGAUGAGCCUGCGUUGGAUUAGCUAGUUGGUGGGGUAAUGGCCCACCAAGGCGACGAUCCAUAGCUGGUCUGAGAGGAUGAUCAGCCACACCGGGACUGAGACACGGCCCGGACUCCUACGGGAGGCAGCAGUGGGGAAUAUUGCGCAAUGGGCGAAAGCCUGACGCAGCCAUGCCGCGUGUGUGAAGAAGGCCUUCGGGUUGUAAGGCACUUUCAAUUGGGAGGAAAGGUUCACGGCUAAUACCCGUGAGCCGUGACGUUACCUUUAGAAGAAGCACCGGCUAACUCCGUGCCAGCAGCCGCGGUAAUACGGAGGGUGCAAGCGUUAAUCGGAAUUACUGGGCGUAAAGCGCGCGUAGGUGGUCUGUUAAGUCGGAUGUGAAAGCCCUGGGCUCAACCUGGGAACUGCAUCCGAUACUGGCAGACUAAAGUGCGGGAGAGGGAGGUAGAAUUCCAUGUGUAGCGGUGAAAUGCGUAGAUAUGUGGAGAAAUACC